CAGAAGGUUAACUAAAGAGCAGUUGCCUCAGACCUGGAGAACAAGGGGUUACAGCAUAUAUUCCUGAAAUUCUGGAUGGUGGAAAUCCUUGCCCUCUAAAAGCAGAAGUCCCUCUGGGUGCAGACUGAUGCUUCCCUUCAAAUCUGGAGCUGGAGAAGUUUCGUCAUGGAGAAAGAGCCCUCUCCCACCUGCGCCCAGCGCUUUUGACUUUGAAUCACCUCAAGUGGGGAUCCAUCAUCUCUGGUACAAGGCCUCGGAGCGUAGUACUACACACAGACACACACGAAUGCGGACCUAUGAAUGUGCUCAGAAAAAAAACAAACACACACUGUCUCCAUAUGCCUACCAACAACCUCUAUCUCUACCGCUACCCGUCCUGAGCGCUAAGAUGUUGACGGAAGAAGGCGGAGUGGUGAGAUUGCAGCUUCCAUCUUGCUGGAGUCUCUCUUUCUCCGUUGCUGGCUUUGAAGAAGCAAGAAGCCAUGGAGCAGACCCCCAGGUGGUAAGGAAAUGCAGAACGGCCUGAAGAAGCUGAGGACCCCCUCCGUCUGAAAUCCAUCAAAAAAACUAAAGCCCACAGUUCUGCAACCACAAGGAGCUGCACUUUGCAACAACCAGAGUGAGAUGAAAAGCAGAUUCUUCCCCAGUUGAGUCUCAGAGACCACAGCCCCAGUCAACACCUUGACUGUAGUCUUGUGAGACCCUAAGCAGAAGACCCAGCCCAGCUGUGCUCAGACUCCUGACCCACAGAAAUUAGGCAGAGAAAUACCUUUAACCUAAAGUUCCAAGCAAGGCCCUGAGCAUCACUCUGAUGGACAUGCUAAGCCUGUGAUGCUCACCACUGAGCCUGCCAUUUUGAUCAGGGGAAUGGAGAGUGCUGACUGGUGGACUCCAACUGCGGCUCUGGGAGGGAACUGGCUCCCCUGGAAGCACAUGAAUUCCCAAAGAGAAGCUGGUGUCCACUCAACCUUUAUUUACACUAGCCCACGCUUGUUUAUCUACCUUGGAAAUAAAAAUUUAAGAAGAACAUUGAAUGAAUGAACGAAUAAGAAAUGGUUUUGGCAAGUUAACAUUGUUCCUAAUUUGAGCCAAUUCAUGAGUAAAGUUAGGAUGUUGGUUUCCAAUUUUGACCCAUAUUUCAUGUGUGGAUUGCAGGCCUU
rnacentral:lncRNA from 1 species